AUCUUGUCUGGUCCUACGUGAACAUUAGAAGGUGAAGAAGUUGGCCUGGGCGCUUUCCACCCCGCAGGCAGAAAGAACAAAGGGCGCUGGCUCUGGAGGUGCUCUCCAUCAUGCUGAAAACUGUGUCCAAUCUCAUUGUGGGAAGCAGCAGGUAGCUGUGAAAGGCGGCUCAGGCCCCCAUUGUUACCACCGUGGCUAAAGGUGAAAGGCCAGUUCGCAGGCAAGGCUCUGACCCUUCACUUUUUUGUUGAGAGUGUCACAAGAUGGAAAGAAUCCCAAGAGACCAGUGAAGCAAGAAAUUAUCAAAGCUGCGGUAUUUACUAAGUCACUUCGUGCCAGUGCCCCAGCAAGCUGCCACCACGGCUGCCAAGCCCUGUCACCCUUGCUGAUCAGUACAGAGAGGGCCUCGCUGCGCUGGGUAGAGGAAGCAGGAAGUUCGCUGAACUCAGACGGAAGCAAAAGGAUUCCUCUGGAGAAUCUCAGCAGGUGGGAGAGCCUCUCUGCAGAGCCAGGCUCUUUUGACCCAGAGUACACACAAUAGAGCCCUCUUAGGAGAGAUUUUUUCCACAGGUUUCUUCUUGGCCCUCUGGAUUUGUUCUAAGCUGGCUUUCUGUGUGUGUGAGUUGUCUUGGCCUUUCUGGUUUUCUUUCCCUUUGGAACUUUCAGAUCUUUCCAUUGUGCACAACGUCCCUGUGAAAAGGCCUGAGUCACUCGGCCUCCAACUUUGCAGCCCCAAACAUUCCCUCUUUGAAUUAAGGUCACCUGGUGUAUGUCCCCAGCGCGGUAGAGGGAAGGGCACUUUAUUACCCGGGCCCUGGGCCCAAGGACCCCCUUAGGAGCAUUGUCAAGGGACUUUUUCAGAUGAGAGACUUUCUGUAAAAGACUGACAGGGACUUCUUAGGACAGAUGACCUUUAAAGAUCUUUUCCAAUUCUUACUCUGGGAUUCUAAAAUGGUGUGUGGCCCCCACACAGUGUCAUUUGAGCAGGAGCAGACAGAACUGGAGAUGACUCAAAGGAGACAUCAGAGCUGCCUUUAAGAUCCUUGGAAUACGGAAACAAGAGAGAGAGAUUAGUCCGAGGAUAUGUGACCUCAGAAGGCAGAAAUCUUGGCUGGAGUUUUAUGACAGGAUGGGAGUUUACAGUUGAUCUAGGAAAGGAACCCUGAUUUGCCAGUCAGAUCCCCUGGAGUAAAGCCCAAAGACCUGGUUUUGAAUGCUCACCGCUGCCUAACAUCUGUGUGACCCGGGGUUACCGACCUGACUUUGCUGAGCUUGUUUUCCUAUAGGCCAAACAGUGAUAAGACUUGCCUUGAUUCUGCCAUCCGGCUAUUGUGAAGAGGAAUAGGAUAAGAGAAAGUGCUUGUAAAUUCUGAAGUUCUAAAGAUUUAAUCCUACUGUCCAGCUCCCCAGUUUGAUGGAGUAGAUAACCAGAGUCUGGAGAAGUUAGGAAACUUACAUGAGAGCACUCAGUAUUGAUCUAAGGUAAGAGCUGAUAAGGCCUCAUAUCUACAAGAGAUAAUAUAUUGAUCCCUAGCAGCUCCAGGAUAAAAGCCUUUUGGGGGCACCUUGGGGCCAUGACGCAGCUCCAACUUCCCCCUGGAGCUUCAUCUCACUCCUAAUUUUAUUUUCUGAUUAUGAAAAUUAUAUGUGCUCACUGUGUGGAACUUGUAUAAUACAAAAAGCACAAAGUAAAACACGUUAAAACAUUUUAAUAAUUCUGCUAUGUGGACAGACGUAUCUACUGUUGAAAUUAAGAUAUAUUACCUUUUAGCCUUUUCUCUAUGCAUGUACGUAUUUGAACAUAAUUGGAAGAUUUCAUGCAAACUUUUGUAUAUUGACUCCUUUUUCACCUAAUGGUUGGUUGUACACUUUGCCAUUAAAAUUCAUUAAGCAGUAUCAAAUGCAUAAUUUUCCACUGUAUAAGAGCAUAACAGCUUGUAACAAGUCCUCUACUGUUGGACACUGAGGUUCUCUCUCGUUUGCUAUAAACAACUGUGUCGAACAUUCUCACCUGUGAGUUGUUGUUUUCCUGGCCUGUCUUUUGACUCCCAGUACCUUUCAUUCAGUGCCGGUAGCUGUCCAAAUGUCAAGAAGCGGGAUCUGAAGCAAAACCUGCAUACGACUCUACACAAAUGCUGAAAGUGCCGCCUCAUCAACAAGCAAUGCUUCCUAUGGGUUCCCUGGCGUGAUUUGGGCCAUUCUCUAAAACUCUGUGCUUCUUGCCUUCUGUAGAGACUCACAAAUGUUUGUUUGCCCUAAAGUGUUCUCGGUUUAUCCUGAGAGUAUGUGGCAUAUGAUACACAGCUGAGGCCCUAAGCCCUAGUAACAUAUUUUAAGGUAUUUUAUUUAAAUGUAUGUAUUUUAUGUUUUUAUUUUUGCCCUGUGUUGCUUUCGGUAAUGCUUAGAGUAAUGAAGUUUCACUUGUCUUUCCUGAUGUCAGUUUCUCACUGGACCUAGGUCUGUGUCCUUGUGAAGUCUCCUCCUCCUGAAUCUGCCCUGCUCUGUGACUUGCUUUUGGCCACCAGCAUGCUGCAGAAGUGGUGCUGUGUGACUUCUGAGCAGGUCGUAGGAAGCCUUGCAGUGUGGCCUGGGUCUUCGGGAAGGCUUGUUUGAGGAAAACCACUGUCGUGUAAGAAGUCUGAGACUCUCAUGGUGUGAGGACUCUUAAAUGAGUCACAUGGAGAAGGCCACCUAUCCAGGCCCCAGUUCUUCCAGCCAUUGUUCCCGUGACCCAUGCAUGUGGGGGAAGAGGCCAUCUUUCACCCCCAGCCCAGCUGAGUCUUCAGAUGAUCCCAUCCCGGCCUCCAGUUAACUGUAACCAGACCCCAGUCAGGAACCACAUAGGAACGGAACCCAGUCAGCCCACAGGCUGGUGAGGAUGAUAAUCCAUUGUUGUAUAAAACCGCAUUUGGGAUGAUCUGUUGUAUACUACAUAAUCAGAACGAGACUCAA